GAUCAUGGCUCAGGAUGAACGCUAGCUACAGGCUUAACACAUGCAAGUCGAGGGGCAGCAUGAACUUAGCUUGCUAAGUUGAUGGCGACCGGCGCACGGGUGAGUAACGCGUAUCCAACCUUCCCCUUAGUAGGGCAUAGCCCGUAGAAAUGCGGAUUAAUACCCUAUGUUUUUCCAAUGAGGACAUCUGAGCUGGAACAAAGGUUUACCGCUAAGGGAUGGGGAUGCGUCUGAUUAGGCAGCAGGCGGGGUAACGGCCCACCUGGCCUACGAUCAGUAGGGGUUCUGAGAGGAAGGUCCCCCACAUUGGAACUGAGACACGGUCCAAACUCCUACGGGAGGCAGCAGUGAGGAAUAUUGGUCAAUGGGCGAGAGCCUGAACCAGCCAAGUAGCGUGCCAGGAUGACGGCCCUAUGGGUUGUAAACUGCUUUUAUGCGGGGAUAAAGUUCACUACGUGUAGUGUUUUGUAGGUACCGCAUGAAUAAGGACCGGCUAAUUCCGUGCCAGCCGCUGC
rnacentral:rRNA from 1 species